rnacentral:rRNA from 1 species
UACGAAGGGUCCAAGCGUUGUUCGGAAUCAUUGGGCGUAAAGCGAGCGCAGGCGGACUGAUCAGUCUGGGGUGAAAUCUCCCGGCUCAACUGGGAGCGGUCCCUGGAUACUGUCAGUCUUGAGAGACCUAGAGGAGAACGGAAUUCCCGGUGUAGUGGUGGAAUGCGUAGAUAUCGGGAAGAACACCAGUGGCGAAAGCGGCUCUCUGGGGGUUUUCUGACGCUGAGGCGCGAAAAGCGUGGG